GUGCUCGCUGUGGCAGCAUAUACACUAAAACUGGAAUGAUACAGAGAAGAUUAGCAUGGCCCCUGCACAAGGACGACACACAAAUUUGUGAAGCGUUCCAUACAAAA
ensembl:snRNA U6 U6 spliceosomal RNA